UCCAUGAAGUUGGAUUCGCUAGUAAUCGCGCAUCAGCCAUGGCGCGGUGAAUACGUUCCCGGGCCUUGUACACACCGCCCGUCAAGCCAUGGGAGCUGGGGGUGCCUGAAGUUCGUGACCGCAAGGAUCGACCUAGGGCAAAACCGGUGACUGGGGCUAAGUCGUAACAAGGUAUC
rnacentral:rRNA from 1 species